rnacentral:rRNA from 1 species
UGGGGAAUAUUGGACAAUGGGGGCAACCCUGAUCCAGCAAUGCCGCGUGUGUGAAGAAGGCCUUCGGGUUGUAAAGCACUUUUAUCGGGAACGAAACAUUGUCGGCUAAUACCCGGCAAGACUGACGGUACCCGAGGAAUAAGCACCGGCUAACUUCGUGCCAGCAGCCGCGGUAAGACGAAGGGGGCUAGCGUUGUUCGGAAUUACUGGGCGUAAAGCGAGUGUAGGCGGUUGUUCAAGUCAGGUGUGAAAGCCUUGAGCUCAACUCAAGAAAUGCACUUGAUACUGGAUGACUAGAGGACCGGAGAGGAUAGUGGAAUUCCCAGUGUAGUGGUGAAAUACGUAGAGAUUGGGAAGAACACCAGUGGCGAAGGCGGCUAUCUGGACGGUUACUGACGCUAAGACUCGAAAGCGUGGGGAGCAAACA